CCUGUUUUAUCAAAAACAUGGUUUCUUGUAAUUGUUUAGGAGAUCUGACCUGCCCACUGAAAGUAUUUUGAAGGGCCGCAGUAUUUUGACUGUGCAAAGGUAGCAUAAUCAUUAGUCUUUUAAUUGAAGGCUGGUAUGAAUGGUUGGAUGAGGUAAAUUCUGUUUUAUGUUAAUUGAUGUUGAAUUUAGAUUUUAAGUAAAAAUACUUAAAUGUUAUUAAGGGACGAGAAGACCCUAUAGAGUUUAAUAAAUAUAAUAAUUAAUUGAGUUAAAGUUUAAUUUUUGGUUUUUAUGUAAUUUAUUUAAUUGGGGUGAUUGGAAGAUAAAAUAAACUCUUCUUUAUAUUUAAUAAAUUAAUUAGUUGUAUGAUCCAUAUUUAAUGAUUAAAAGAUUAAAUUACCUUAGGGAUAACAGCAUAAUUCUUUUUAAGAGUUCAUAUCGAAAAAAGAGAUUGUGACCUCGAUGUUGGAUUAAGAUUAGUUAUGGGUGCAGAUGUUCAAUAACUAGGUCUGUUCGACCUUGAAAAUCUUACAUGAUCUGAGUUCAA
rnacentral:rRNA from 1 species